rnacentral:rRNA from 1 species
UACGUAGGCAGCAAGCGUUGUUCGGAGUUACUGGGCGUAAAGGGUGCGUAGGCGGCCUCUAUAAGUAUGGUGUGAAAUCUCCCGGCUUAACUGGGAGGGUGCGCUAUAGACUGUCGGGACUGAGUGUGGGAGAGGAAAGUGGAAUUCCUGGUGUAGCGGUGAAAUGCGUAGAUAUCAGGAGGAACACCGGUGGUGUAAACGGCUUCUGGACCAUAACUGACGCUGAGGCACGAAAGCGUGGGUAGCAAACAGG